rnacentral:rRNA from 1 species
UACAGAGGGUGCUAGCGUUGUUCGGAAUCAUUGGGCGUAAAGGGCGCGUAGGCGGCUCGGCACGUCCGUUGUGAAAUCGCUCGGCUCAACUGGGCGAGGUCAGCGGAUACGGUCGAGCUUGAGCCAGCUAGGGGGCAAUGGAAUUCCCGGUGUAGUGGUGGAAUGCGUAGAUAUCGGGAGGAACACCAGUGGCGAAGGCGGUUGCCUGGGGCUGUGCUGACGCUGAUGCGCGAAAGCGUGGGGAGCGAUCCGG